rnacentral:rRNA from 1 species
CCUACGGGAGGCAGCAGUGGGGAAUAUUGGACAAUGGGGGGAACCCUGAUCCAGCCAUGCCGCGUGUGUGUAGAAGGCCCUCGGGUUGUAAAGCACUUUCAGCGAGGAAGAACGCCUAGCGGUUAAUACCCGCUAGGAAAGACAUCACUCGCAGAAGAAGCACCGGCUAACUCCGUGCCAGCAGCCGCGGUAAUACGGAGGGUGCAAGCGUUAAUCGGAAUUACUGGGCGUAAAGCGCGCGUAGGUGGCUUGAUAAGCCGGUUGUGAAAGCCCCGGGCUCAACCUGGGAACGGCAUCCGGAACUGUCAAGCUAGAGUGCAGGAGAGGAAGGUAGAAUUCCCGGUGUAGCGGUGAAAUGCGUAGAGAUCGGGAGGAAUACCAGUGGCGAAGGCGGCCUUCUGGACUGACACUGACACUGAGGUGCGAAAGCGUGGGUAGCAAACAGGAUUAGAUACCCUGGUAGUCCACGCCGUAAACGAUGUCGACCAGCCGUUGGGUGCCUAGCGCACUUUGUGGCGAAGUUAACGCGGUAAGUCGACCGCCUGGGGAGUACGGCCGCAAGGUUAAAACUCAAAUGAAUUGACGGA